rnacentral:rRNA from 1 species
UACGGAGGGUGCAAGCGUUGCUCGGAAUUAUUGGGCGGAAAGGGUAGGUAGGUGGUCUCAUUUGUCUGGGGUGAAAUCCUUGAGCUUAACUCAAGAAGUGCCUCAGAAACGGUGAGACUAGAGUUCUGGAGAGGGUCGUGGAAUUCCCGGUGUAGCGGUGAAAUGCGUAGAGAUCGGGAGGAACACCGGAGGCGAAGGCGGCGACCUGGACAGAUACUGACACUAAACUACGAAAGCGUGGGGAGCAAACAGG